GCACGAUGUCACCCCCUUUUAUAUCAAUUUUUUCACGUCGACAUUUAUUUCUUGCUCCUCACUUGCAAAAGCAAACGUCGUGAAACGAAAAAAGGAAACGUAAACUUUUUAUAGAGGAUCAUAAAAGUGAGAACCAAAGGAAAGUAGUUUUCCAAGUGACGCCACUGACUUUGUGACCCGCAAAAAUUUCGCCCACUUCUCAAAAAAAGUUCGCCGUCACUGGUCUGUACCGACGAUAGGAGUUUAAAUUGAGAAUUAAUUGCAAAAUAAACCUCAUAAACAUGUCUGACAACAGAUGGACCCAAUGCCAGAAGAAAAAUCUACCUGAGCACACGUUGGAAAUUGGAGUUAGUUUGCCAAGCAACGUGGUAGUUAAACCAAACCUAGAAGAACUUUCCCACGUUUUCCACGGAAACCUGCCCCUAGACACGUUUAAUUCGCAUUCGUCGAUAGUUAGACUGGGUGUUUAGAUCGACAGCUGGAAAAGUGAGGAAAUUUUGCCGCAGAGUGUCCGGGAGGUGCGUUCAGAUGCGACAACGGGCAAUGCUUGCCGGCGUACGAGUUCUGCAACGCGGUGGUGUCCUGUCGGGACGGAAGCGACGAGCCAAGAGGCGCGUGCCGCAGGCAGAUUGGCCGCCAUCGGGCUAGAAUCUCGUCGAAACACUGUCCGUUUAGGUGCGACAACGGCAGGUGCCGAUCGGACGCGAUCGUCUGCAGCGGCCGCGACGGCUGCGGCGACGGCUCCGACGAGAAACGCUGUUCCAUUUGCAGAUGUUCGCCGUUUGCCUGAUCGAGGAGACGAGACAAGCAACUGUCGGAAGAAAUUAGCGCGAGUUGAUUGACGACGACACACCAUUCUCCGCCAGCCAACCACUGCUCGUGCUACUCUGUGUAUUUUUUCUUUUUUUUUUCUUCUUUACAAAUAGAUUCGCCGUUCGAAUAAACGUGAAAAAUUCAGAAAUUCUUCUCCCUUUU